UGGCGUGGUAGCGACCUGAAAGGGGAGCGACCUUUCGGGAGCCGUCACAGGUGCUGCAUGGCUGUCGUCAGCUCGUGUCGUGAGAUGUUCGGUUAAGUCCGGUAACGAGCGCAACCCUCGCCGUCAGUUACAAGUGUCUGGCGGGACUGCCCGUUGAACGCGGGAGGAAGUGGGAUGACGUCAAGUCAGCAUGGCCUUUAUGUCCAGGGCUACACACACGCUACAAUGGCCGGCACAGAGGGUCGCCAACCCGCGAGGGGGAGCCAAUCCAAGAAAGCCGGUCUCAGUUCGGAUUGCAGGCUGCAACCCGCCUGCAUGAAGUCGGAGUUGCUAGUAAACGCGCAUCAGCCAUGGCGCGUUGAAUACGUUCCCGGGCCUU
rnacentral:rRNA from 1 species